AGGAGAAAGUGACUCUCUCCGCUGCUGCCCCACAUCCCAGGCCUGCUUUUCAAGGGUAUCUGUUCUGGUACUGCAGGGAGAAUAUGCAGCUAAAAGCACAGAUCCCAAAGGGGAUUUCUGGGCUUGUCUCUUCUCACUUUACCUGUUUUUAUUUCCAGUUGUAUCUACAUUUAAAGGCAGGGCAGGUGCACUGGAAGCUCUGGUAAAGACUCAAGCUCAAAGCUCUUUAUCCUGUAGUCUAAAUUCUCCUCGGCCUCCUGGGCCAGGUCUGUUGUUCAGUUGCUUUGCUCACCCAUCAGUCUGGAGCGCCUCUCAAGCCUUGCUCCCUGUGUGGCUCUGCACCCCCAUCUGCCCUGUCCCCCUUAGGUAGAAGCUAGAAUGGAUGCUCUUUCCCCGACUGUGUAGAGAUGUGCAAUCCAAAGGAAUUGAGGGGUUUCUGUCCAUCCUAGUGAGCUCCUGGUGCCAACCUCAUGUUAGCAUACAGCUUCUCACAUUUCUAUAAGGUCUGAUUUAUAAUUCCCCUCAACAUGACAACUCUCUGUGAAAACUGUCUUUGAAUUUGUGUUCUAAUUUGCGUAAUUCGGACAAUGAUUCAGAAAUGAACACUCUUUAGGAAAUGUGCAGUUUUGUGCAAAGCAUGGCAAUUAUUUUUUAGAAAAGUCAAUUUAAUAAACUAUUGCCUCUAGUUUUGGAACAAUUUUCAAAAAUAAAGAAAAAUAGGUCCUAAUAAUGUUCUGCUUCUCCAAAUAUCACAGAUAUCACAGGUCAUCUGUGAGUCACUGUAGUGACUUGGGGGAUGGGGAACUGUGCUGGGUGCUUCAUGGUGGUCCCUGUGCUCUGUUCAUGAGACCCUGAGUUCAGUCUCUGGCCUGGAUGAAUGAGUGAGUCAAUGAGUCACUGGCUGAAGUUUUCCUUCUGAGAAAAAAAGAACCCAGGAAAAGGGGUUGGUGAGGUCACCUAGAAGAUGCAUCCCUUUCCACUAAGGAGUCGCACAAUUCAAGAACGGAAUAGAACCUCUUCACUUGUGUUCUGUGGGGGUUACAGUUCUCUUACGGAUACACUUUACUUUUGAAUAAAUGGCUCUGAUUGUUCAAACU
rnacentral:lncRNA from 1 species